GCGCUGUUUAUCAAAAACAUAGCCAUAAGUUUUCAUUUAUGGUUUAACCUGCCCAAUGUUAUGAUAAUUAAUGGCCGCGGUANCCUGACCGUGNUAAGGUAGCGUAAUCAGUUGGCUUUUAAAUGGAGUCAGGAAUGAAUGGAAUAACCGGGUUUAGCUGUCUCCUAACUAUUUAAUUGAAUUUACUGAUCAAGUGAAAAAGCUUGAGUAUUGAAAAGGGACGAGAAGACCCUUAGAAUUUUACUUAGAGUAGGUGUUUUAUGCCUAUAAUUGUUUUGUUGGGGUGACAAAGAAAUAUAUUUAAACUUUCUUUCAUUUACAAGCCGAGUUUUAUUAAGUAAGAAUAAGUUACCUGAGGGAUAACAGCAUAAUUCUAUAAAUGAGUUUGUGACCUCGAUGUUGGACUAGGAAACUAGCAAGCUAGCCGUUUGUUGUGUUGGUUCUGUUCGAACUUUAAUUCCUACGUGAUCUGAGUUCAGACCGG
rnacentral:rRNA from 1 species